AAAAUCUACUAGGGGAGCCUGUAUGGCUGAGAUGAUUUAGUUCAGACCCUUACGACCUGAUUUGGUUAAUGCCAACGUAGGAAAGUAGUUUAAUUUAUAA
rnacentral:ncRNA from 2 species